UGUGCUACCGGAUUGGCUUAAGGA
rnacentral:piRNA from 1 species